GACGAACGCUGGCGGCGUGCCUAAUACAUGCAAGUCGAACGCUUUUUCUUUCACCGGAGCUUGCUCCACCGAAAGAAAAAGAGUGGCGAACGGGUGAAUAACACGUGGGUAACCUGCCCAUCAGAAGGGGAUAACACUUGGAAACAGGUGCUAAUACCGUAUAACACUAUUUUCCGCAUGGAAGAAAGUUGAAAGGCGCUUUUGCGUCACUGAUGGAUGGACCCGCGGUGCAUUAGCUAGUUGGUGAGGUAACGGCUCACCAAGGCAACGAUGCAUAGCCGACCUGAGAGGGUGAUCGGCAACACUGGGACUGAGACACGGCCCAGACUCCUACGGGAGGUAGCAGUAGGGAAUCUUCGGCAAUGGACGAAAGUCUGACCGAGCAACGCCGCGUGAGUGAAGAAGGUUUUCGGAUCGUAAAACUCUGUUGUUAGAGAAGAACAAGGAUGAGAGUAGAACGUUCAUCCCUUGACGGUAUCUAACCAGAAAGCCACGGCUAACUACGUGCCAGCCGCCGCGGUAA
rnacentral:rRNA from 1 species